rnacentral:rRNA from 1 species
AUGGCCUCCGCCGACCGUCUCUCCGCCCUCGCCGACGACCUCCUCCAGCGCAUCCUGUCCUUCGCGCCGGCCAAGGAGGCCGCGGCCAGCGCCGCCCUCUCGCGCCGAUGGAGCCCGCUGUGGCGCCGCACGGGCGCCCUCAACCUCGACAGCAGGCCCUACUCCCGCCAGCACUCCAGAUUUUACCACGGCGACCGCUUCGACGACUUCUUCCGCCACGGCAAGGCCGCCCUCGCCAGCCAUCUCGGGACGGCGCUCAAGAGGCUCACGCUCUGCCUGUUGGAAGACGCCUACCUCGUCGGCGACAAAUGGCACUACUGUAGGAACGACGACGUGGUGCCAGAGUAUGACGCCCGGGUCGCCGGCCUCCUCACCGACCCCGCCGCGGCCGUGCUCGAGGAGCUCCAGAUUGCCGGCGAGUGCGUCUUUGUCUGCAAGUACGUCCCGCCGCUGGCCUCCCUGCCGUGCGCCGCCACGACGCUCCGGGUUCUGGAGCUCCACAACUGCAGCCUCGAGCCGGCGUCGUCACCAGCACCACCGAUGGAGUCGUCAGCGAGCCUCGCUUUCCCGCACCUCACAGAUUUGACGGUGCGUGACUGCACUUACUUGGAGUGGUAUCUCCAGGCCAUGGUCGACGCCAUGCCGUCGCUAACCAGGCUCGCGCUAGUGGACGUCACUAACAAGCCGCUGACGCCGCCGCCGGUUUCCACCGAGGAUUCCUUCAUGCCCACGUCCAAGUCUUUCAACCUGCCCCUCCGCCUCGCAUCCCCGACAGUCACUGCCUUGGUGCUCGAGAUCAAUAUGUGCCUGAACGAGCUCGACGAUUCCCGCAACAUUGGCAUACAGCUCGACAUGCCGAGCCUCCGCUCCUUCCGCUACAAGGGCUUCCCCUUCAAGCUCUCGCUCACAUCGCCGGCGCCGGGCCUGGCACGAGUCCACCUCGACACCAACCGCCGCGAGAGCGACGUUUACAAGUGCGAGCCCGCGGCACGCGUGCUUGCGAGCUUCUGCACCACGAGGUCCCUCAACCUGCGUCUCAGCACCAUUGAGGACAUUAUUGUCUCCAACGACUGUUAUCGCUAUGACACAAGCUUCCAUUACAGGGACAGCAACACGGCGUCGGCAUUGGCAACGCUACUCCGCGCCUGCCCGGCUAUGUCCGAGCUCCGCCUCAGGUUAAACAUGAACAGGGACUACCACUACGAUCGCGAGACCAAGGAACAAGUCGGAGGCCCCUCCGCCCAGUCCAUGGAAAGGUUCAACAGGCUCGGGUCCAUGUGCGCCAAACACCGCGACGACAUGGAGCUCGGCGGGGUCUCAGAGCUCCCGGCUGCUUUCGCCAACAGUUGCACGUUCGGCUGCCUGAGGACGAGCCUGCGUAAGGUGACGCUGCAGUUCAAGUCCAACGAGCACAACUGCUUUCAGGUUGGUGGCCAAUUUCGCAUUGUGAAACGGUGGAAAUGGAAGGCGACCACGCAGGUGGGAGUUGUAUAUGGAGAUGGCACAUCAUUUGCAGCAGCUGUUGAGAGAAAUUUUGUGAGGGAGAAAGGGAAAGACAAGGAGGAAGGACCUGAACAAGAGGAGAAAAGGAUCACCUCUUUUUUUUCACCCUUGCUAGUGCCUACUGCCUGCUCUGGCAUUGGAGAUCCAGACCUGGGAACCCAAGGUCGGCGCGCGGCGUACGUAUCCGUUCCAAAACCCAAACGGACUGAAUCGUCGACGUGCACAUCCAUAAAUAAAUAUGGAGCUCCAAGUCUCCAAGACUCCAACCCGCGACGUACGUUGGCAUCCACAAUGGCUGCCGCCGACCGUCUCUCAGCCCUCCCAAACGACGUGCUCGCGCGCAUCCUGUCUUUCGCGCCAACGCACGAGGCCGCGGCCACUGCCCUCCUCUCACGCCGGUGGCGAUCCGUGUGGCACCGGACCAGCUUCCUCAACCUCGACACCAGGCCCUACUCUACUCGGAGGCUUGAGCCUUUCUUCCAAGACGCCCGCGACAUCCUCGCAUCGCUCCGUCGGCCGCGCCGCGGCUCCCGCCGGCGCUGCCAUGGUGCGGGCCUCAAGACACUCAAGCUCUUCCUGGAGGAAGGAGCCUACUACAACAGAAAGAGCUGGCGUAGGGUGCGGGACGAUGCCGAACCGGACCACAGGGUCGCCGAACUCCUGGCCGACCCUGCUGUGUCGCGGCUGGAAGAGCUCAGCAUCGGCUGCGAGAAGGGCCACUCAAGAGAGGACCGUUACUUCCCGCCACUGGCAUCCCUGCCGUGCGCCGCCACGCUCCGGGUGCUGGAGCUCACGAACUGCAACCUCGAGCCGCCGUCGACGGCGCCGUCCUCGGGCCUGGCUUUCCCGUGCCUGACAGAUCUGACGCUGCGUAACUGCUUUUUCUUGGAGGGGUAUCUCCAAGACAUGCUCGACGCCGCGCCGGCACUCACCAGCCUGGCUCUGGCGAACGUCAGACAGAAGGCGGCUGGUUCUGGCGAGAGAUUGAACGACUGGGACUACUUCAUGCUGCCACUUCGCCUCCGAUGCCCGACGCUCACCGCCUUGGUGCUCGUGACCUUUGUCGACAAGAAGGAGGUCAAGGCGUCCGCCGCUGGCGGCAGCGGCAUCGAGCUCGACAUGCCCAGCCUCCGCUUCUUCCGGUUCCAGGGAUACCCCGUCAAGCUCUCGCUCACAUCGCCGGCACCGGGGCUCGCGCGAGUCGAUCUCGAUGUGGCUCGCCGCCAUCACAGUAGCCAUAGCUGGGCCUUCAGUUACGAGCCGCCAUCGCGCAUAAUCGCAAACUUCUCCAGCACGAGGGCCCUCAAGGUGCACCUCCAGAGCAUCGAAGACAUCAUCGCCGCCGACGAGGAUAAGGACGGCGGGGUCAUCCUGCCAACGUUCCCAAACCUCAAGCUCCUCGAACUAGAAGGAGAGUACUGGUGGCACAAGAACAGCAAGACAGCCGUGGCAACGGCGAGGCUUCUCCGCUCCUGGGUGAUGUCCGAGCUCCGGCUCAGGUUGGGCAAGCAAUGCGACCAUUGGGACCAAGACGAGUACAAGGACCCCUUCGACGAGUCCAUGGAGAGGUUCGAGAAGCUCGCGUGCAGGUCGUCGGCCGUGGAGCUUGGCUGGGUGUCGGAGCUCCCGGACCCUCUGACGUUCCGCUGUCUGCAGACGAGCCUCCGGAAGGUGACGCUGCGGUUCAAGGCCAAGGAGGUGAACUGCUUCCCGACGCAGCUCGCCAAGUUCGUCGCGGAGAACGCAAUGGUGCUCGAGGAGAUGCACGUCGACGACGGCAGCCAGUUCUGGCCGGACCACCUCUGCCACAAGGUUGGGGUGUGGAGAGCCGAGUCGUUCCGGAGGAAGAACCUGCCGGCCACGGCCGCCGGCUUUCGGGUGUGCCAGCUGCCGAUGGAUAAACCUGUGAAAGAUCCUGCUGAAGAAUCGUGUUACGGUUACGGUUACGAAUACGAUUAG